CAAGCUUUGCCAGGGGACUUUAUUAAUUAAGUUUAAGAGCACCUAUGAUCUUCGUAACACGUUGAGUACAUGGCCACACGGUUGGCGAUAAUACAUGUAAACGGAUCCCCGGGGCUCAAAGUGUUAAAAGCUACAAACGUUCGAAGUCUUUUACACAUCUAACCUCUUAUCAAAAUUCCGUAAUUGGAAACUUAUUGGGCGGUUCAUACUUACGUUCAAUCUCCAUUUCGACGCAGAUCAGUUAAGAUAGUUAAGAUUUUAUAGUGUGCAAAGUUAGCACAGAAAUUAGAGUUGUUUUACAAAUCAGCUGUGAUAAGCGUCAAGAAAUUCAACCAGGCACCAAGGACUACGGCUACAGCUGCAACGUGAGGUGGUAGAAAAACCAAGCGCUGUGGAGGGAAUGCCUAAGUUACUAUUAAAAUGUAGAGUUAAUGCAAAAGUUGUGUGUGUGUGAGUGUGUGUGAGUGUGUGUGUGUGUGUGUGUGUGAGAGAGAGAGAGAGAGAGAGAGAGAGAGAGAGAGAUUCAGCACAGCUGCCACCUUGAUAUCUUAAACGUUAGCAUUGGCAUACACCAACAAAAAAAUUCGAGGAAUAGUUUGUUUUGAAUGCCAGUGCAAAACUCAAUUAACAAAUCACAAAAUUUUACACAAGUUUCAAGAAAUAUCUGGGAUUAGCUAUUUUUGUAUUUGUCUUUAGUUGGCUGCACUGGUGGGUGACGCUCACCUCGUGUUCACCGUGCGAGAGCUACGCCACGCCAGUUCUGAAGCAGAGAAAAGAGAGAGAACCGUGUCCAUCGAGUAGCCUAGCCGUAUUAUCUUGUCUCAAUCAAUCAAUAAUGGAAGAAGGGAGUACUGAGCGGCAGUUGUCGAGAAGGGUAUGCACAACUACAACCACCACGAUUGAAGAGUAUAUAGCAGGCGGGUUCAACUCCAGAAUUCCCCCACCUGACAUUGUAGCUAAUGUGCCCCCACCCAAUGUGGUCAUAGCCAACAAUCUGCGGCCAAACAGAGGGUGGUUCCGACAUUCAAAUGCACGCCAGAUAUUGCCUGCUCGAGCUGCUGUAGAGCUGGAUCCAGUGGAUCUUUCGCAUCCAGUAAAUGCUGAGCCACUUGCUGCAAACUUCAAUAUCCCACCGCCGCAGAAUUUGCGAGAUUUUACCGUGCCCCGGAAUGUGGAACCCCAAACGUAGCCCACUGAGCGUGCACCAAUCCCACUGCCGGCACCAAUACAGCAGGUUGCUGAACCACUUGGAGUUAAUUUUCAUGUUCCACCACCUCAGAAUCUACGGUAUUCUACUCUACCAAGGAACGUGGAACCCAGAACCCGUAAUUCCUUUCAGCGUGUAGCUGGCAGAGUGCAACCAUUGCCUGAAAGAAGACAGCAGAUUGCUGAGCCACCUGCUGCAGUUAAUGCAAAUAUUCCACCACCUCAGAAUCUGUUUGGCUGUAUGCUGCUCCGGAAUGCAGAAUCUGAAUCCCAGAAGCAUUCUGUGCUUGUUGAUCGAAGACAGCAGGUGCGAAGAUUGGUCAACAAAUUUUUAAUGUGCCACCACCUCAGAAUCUACUGUAUUCUACUGGACCCUGGA